rnacentral:rRNA from 1 species
GACGAACGCUGGCGGCGUGCCUAAUACAUGCAAGUCGAACGCUUCUUUCCUCCCGAGUGCUUGCACUCAAUUGGAAAGAGGGGUGGCGGACGGGAGAGUAACACGUGGGUAACCUACCCAUCAGAGGGGGAUAACACUUGGAAACAGGUGCUAAUACCGCAUAACAGUUUAUGCCGCAUGGCAUAAGAGUGAACGGCGCUUUCGGGUGUCGUUGCUGGAUGGACCCGCGGUGCAUUAGCUAGUUGGCGAGGGAACGGCUCACCAAGGCGACGAUGCGUAGCAGCUCUUAGAGGAUGAUGAGCCACACUGGAACUGAGACACGGUCCAGACUCCUACGGGAGGCAGCAGUGGGGAAUAUUGGACAAUGGGCGCAAGACUGAUCCAGCAAAACCGCGUGGGGGAAGAAGGCCUUCGGGUUGUAAAAACCUUUUGUUGGGAAAGAAAAGCAGCAGGUUAAUACCCAGCUGUUCUGACGGUACCCAAAGAAUAAGCACCGGCUAACUUCGUG